GGUUCGAUUAUGGCUCAGAUUGAACGCUGGCGGGAUGCUUUACACAUACAAGUCGAACGGCGGCACGGACUUCGGUCUGGUGGCGAGUGGCGAACAGGUGAGUAAUGUGAACGUGCCUAGUAGCGGGGGACCAGCACGCCGUGAAAGCGUAGCUAAUACCACUAUACGCCCUUCGGGGGAAAGCGGGGACAACUUCGGGCCUCGCACUAUUAGAGCGGCCGAUAUCGGAUU
rnacentral:misc_RNA from 1 species